rnacentral:rRNA from 1 species
UAGGGAAUCUUCGGCAAUGGACGGAAGUCUGACCGAGCAACGCCGCGUGAGGGAAGAAGGUUUUCGGAUCGUAAAGCUCUGUUGUAAGAGAAGAACGAGUGUGAGAGUGGAAAGUUCACACUGUGACGGUAUCUUACCAGAAAGGGACGGCUAACUACGUGCCAGCAGCCGCGGUAAUACGUAGGUCCCGAGCGUUGUCCGGAUUUAUUGGGCGUAAAGCGAGCGCAGGCGGUUAGAUAAGUCUGAAGUUAAAGGCUGUGGCUUAACCAUAGUAGGCUUUGGAAACUGUUUAACUUGAGUGCAAGAGGGGAGAGUGGAAUUCCAUGUGUAGCGGUGAAAUGCGUAGAUAUAUGGAGGAACACCGGUGGCGAAAGCGGCUCUCUGGCUUGUAACUGACGCUGAGGCUCGAAAGCGUGGGGAGCAAACAGGAUUAGAUACCCUGGUAGUCCACGCUGUAAACGAUGAGUGCUAGGUGUUAGACCCUUUCCGGGGUUUAGUGCCGUAGCUAACGCAUUAAGCACUCCGCCUGGGGAGUACGACCGCAAGGUUG